GAUGAACGCUGGCGGCGUGCCUAAUACAUGCAAGUCGAGCGAACAGACGAUGAGCUUGCUCCUCUGACGUUAGCGGCGGACGGGUGAGUAACACGUGCAUAACCUACCUAUAAGACUGGGAUAACUUCGGGAAACCGGAUCUAAUACCGGAUAAUAUAUUGAACCGCAUGGUUCAAUAGUGAAAGACGGUUUUGCUGUCACUUAUAGCUGGAUCCGCGCCGCAUUAGCUAGUUGGUAAGGUAAAGGCUUACCAAGGCAACGAUGCGUAGCCGACCUGAGAGGGUGAUCGGCCACACUGGAACUGAGACACGGUCCAGACUCCUACGGGAGGCAGCAGUAGGGAAUCUUCCGCAAUGGGCGAAAGCCUGACGGAGCAACGCCGCGUGAGUGAUGAAGGUCUUCGGAUCGUAAAACUCUGUUAUUAGGGAAGAACAAAUGUGUAAGUAACUAUGCACGUCUUGACGGUACCUAAUCAGAAAGCAACGGCUAACUACGUG
rnacentral:rRNA from 1 species